AUCUUGAGGAAGAUGCAUAAUAUGAGUAAAGUGACAGAAGUCCUAGAGACCAAGUGGGAUGCCCAGUCCCAGACUCAGCCCCAGAUCUGGUGCAGCAACCACACCCGGUCUACCCCACAUCACUCCCUGAGCAGCACGUCUCCACAGCUUGACAAGGAGGAAGUGCAUCCUUCAGUGACUGCAGUCAUAGGGGCUGACCUGCUGGAAAAGAAUCUUGCUGAGAUACAGAACCUGCGCCAGCGCCUGGAGGAGUCCAUCAGUCUCAAUGACCGCCUGAGGGAGAGGCUGGAGCAUGUGCUUAGCAAUGGUGACCAAGGAAAAGGUACUGCACAGUCCACUGUAGCCCCUCAUUCAUAUACUCAGAGUCACUCUUCUGGCUGUGGCGAGGACAUCCUGUGACAUGAUGCCUAGAGAGUCUGGAAGAAUGUUCUCCAGAACUUUUCUAGCCCUAUCCAACAGAAUUCUUGGGUGGGAACUUGGAGGCAUUGGAUAUUAUCUUUAAAUGAAGAGAUCAAAUUAAUAAAUUAUUUUUAAAAU
rnacentral:lncRNA from 1 species